GACGAACGCUGGCGGCGUGCUUAACACAUGCAAGUCGAACGGAAAGGCCCUGCUUUUGUGGGGUGCUCGAGUGGCGAACGGGUGAGUAACACGUGAGUAACCUGCCCUUGACUUUGGGAUAACUUCAGGAAACUGGGGCUAAUACCGGAUAGGAGCUCCUGCUGCAUGGUGGGGGUUGGAAAGUUUCGGCGGUUGGGGAUGGACUCGCGGCUUAUCAGCUUGUUGGUGGGGUAGUGGCUUACCAAGGCUUUGACGGGUAGCCGGCCUGAGAGGGUGACCGGCCACAUUGGGCCUGAGGUACGGCCCAGACUCCUACGGGAGGCAGCAGUGGGGAAUAUUGCACAAUGGGCGGAAGCCUGAUGCAGCAACGCUGCGUGCGGGAUGACGGCCUUCGGGUUGUAAACCGCUUUCGCCUGUGACGAAGCGUGAGUGACGGUAAUGGGUAAAGAAGCACCGGCUAACUACGUG
rnacentral:rRNA from 1 species